GCCUACGGGGGGCAGCAGUAGGGAAUAUUGGUCAAUGGGCGCGAGCCUGAACCAGCCAAGUCGCGUGAGGGAAGACGGUCCUAUGGAUUGUAAACCUCUUUUGUCGGGGAGCAAAAGACGCCACGCGUGGCGUUCCGAGAGUACCCGAAGAAAAAGCAUCGGCUAACUCCGUGCCAGCAGCCGCGGUAAUACGGAGGAUGCGAGCGUUAUCCGGAUUUAUUGGGUUUAAAGGGUGCGCAGGCGGAAGAUCAAGUCAGCGGUAAAAUUGAGAGGCUCAACCUCUUCGGGCCGUUGAAACUGGUUUU
rnacentral:rRNA from 1 species